GACGUAGGGGACAAGCGUUAUCCGGAUUUACUGGGCGUAAAGCGCCCGCAGGCGGUAGGGUAAGUUGGCCGUGAAAGCUCCUGGCUUAACCGGGAGAGGUCGGUCAAAACUGCUUUACUUGAGGCCGAGAGAGGAGAGCGGAAUUCCCGGUGUAGUGGUGGAAUGCGUAGAUAUCGGGAGGAACACCAGUGGCGCAGGCGGCUCUCUGGCUCGGUUCUGACGCUGAGGGGCGAAAGCGUGGGGAGCGAACGGG
rnacentral:rRNA from 1 species